rnacentral:rRNA from 1 species
GACAGAGGGUGCAAACGUUGUUCGGAAUUACUGGGCGUAAAGCGCGUGUAGGCUGCUCUGCAAGUCGGAUGUGAAAGCCCUGGGCUCAACCUAGGAAGUGCACUCGAAACUGCAGAGCUUGAGUCUCGGAGAGGGUCGCGGAAUUCUCGGUGUAGAGGUGAAAUUCGUAGAUAUCGGGAGGAACACCAGUGGCGAAGGCGACUACCUGGCCUGUUCUUGACGCUGAGGCGCGAAAGCUAGGGGAGCAAACGGG